rnacentral:rRNA from 1 species
GUGAACGCUGGCGGUAGGCCUAACACCUGCAAGUCGAACGGCAGCACAGUAAGAGCUUGCUCUUACGGGUGGCGAGUGGCGGACGGGUGAGGAAUACAUCGGAAUCUACUUUUUCGUGGGGGAUAACGUAGGGAAACUUACGCUAAUACCGCAUACGACCUACGGGUGAAAGCAUGGGAUCUUCGGACCUUGCGCGAUUGAAUGAGCCGAUUUCGGAUUAGCUAGUUGGCGGGGUAAAGGCCCAACAAGGCGACGAUCCGUAGCUGGUCUGAUAGGAUGAUCAGCCACACUGGAACUGAGACACGGUACAGACUCCUACGGGAGGAAGAAGUGGGGAAUAUUGGACAAGGGGCGGAAGCAUGAUCCAGCAAUACCGCGUGGGUGAAGAAGGACUUCGGGUUGUAAAGCCCUUCUGUUGGGAAAGAAAAGAAGCAGGUUAAUACCCCGCUGUUCUGACGGUACCCAAAGAAUAAGCACCGGCUAACUUCGUG